UAUAAACCCAUGGACAGUUGCUUCUUGAGCCAUCACAGCUGACCCCUUUACUUGCUGCUCUUAACCCACUCUCAAGGACACCCAUGCCUCCAAGGAAGAUUAUAAACACCCUAGAGGAGAUGGCUUAGGAGAAGGGAGUGGUGCUUAACGCAAGCAGAGGUCAUCUGAUGACGUCAGGAAGAAUGUGGAAGGGAUUCUAUGACCGGACAAACAUCAGCCUUCAGAGGUCCCUUCCAACACUGAGGUUCUCUGGCCUAAUUGUGUAGCAAUUUACCAGACGUGUAUGGGGAGACUCCAAUGUGCAUAUGUUUAUGUAUGUCCUGACCAUUCAUUGUUAAAGUUCUCCCAGUCAUCACCUUGAGAGGAAUUGAAUAAAA